rnacentral:rRNA from 1 species
CCUACGGGUGGCAGCAGUGAGGAAUAUUGGUCAAUGGGCGCAAGCCUGAACCAGCCACGUCGCGUGAGCGAUGACGGCCCUCCGGUUGGUAAACCUCUUUUUCAGGGGAGCAACGGACGCCACGUGUGGCGUAACUGAGGGUAAACUACGUGACAGCAGCGGCUGAAUUCCGUAGAGGGGCAGCGUUAAUCCGAAUUACUGGGCGUAAAUGCUGCGUAGGUGGUUUCUUAAGUCAGAGGUGAAAUGCUUUGGCUCAACCGUCACAAGCCUGUGAAACUGGGGUACUUGAGUGGAAGAGAAGUAUGAGGAAUUCUUGGUGUAGCGGUGAAAUGCAUAGAUAUAACGAAGAACACCGAUUGCGAAGGCAGCUCUCUAAGCUAUGUCUGACGCUGAGGCACGAAAGCGUGGGGAGCAAACAGGAUUAGAUACCCUGGUAGUC